rnacentral:lncRNA from 1 species
UAUGAGUUUGUUGAAGGGAUGCUUUAUCUCCCAAACUCCAUUCUCGGACCUCAUAUUGAAUAAAACAAGACAAGCGAACUCUGUAACUGUGGAACCUGAAGCCGAGACCUCAUCACUAAACCAGAUUGAGAAUGAACAUAAUCCCGACUCCAAAAAGAUGAUUUUGAAAGUGAUUAUACAAAAAUCUACGGGUAAGUUAUUGUAUGCACAAGCUAAGGAAGAUUUUGUAGAUUUUCUAUGCAGUUUCCUCUUCAUCCCACUAGGAGGAGUUGAGCAUCUUCUAGGCGGUAANAACUAGAUUUGGUUUUGGAGGAUGAUAGGAAUUUGACGAAAAUCAAUUUUUAUGUUAUUCUUAACGCUGGAAUUUGUAAAUGAAUAACUGCACGUGCAAAUUGAAUCAAAUGAAUGUAUGGUCACUUAAUCAGUUUGUUAGCAUAUUGAAGAUCUGCCUUCUUACAUUACAAUUGAAGUCAAUCUGCAUCUUCUUCAUUGCUAGAGCACUCCAAAAUGUCUGAUGCUAAAGAAGUAGAGUUCUCACUGAAAGUGAUGAUAAAUAAAGAGAAAACUAAGGUACUCUUUACAGAAGUUGAUAGCCAUUUUGCAGACAUUUUGUUAAGCUUCUUGACAUUGCCGUUGGGAAGAAUUAUGAAAAUCCUCGAGAAGCACUAUGGCGACGAAGCACCUACCAUUGGAAGCUUAAACACUUUGUACCAUAGCUUAGCCAAUCUUGAUGAUGCCCAUUUCUGGACAGAUGGUGCUAAGCAGACUUUCCUCAAUCCAGCAAGUUCGUUCGAAGCAGAAUAUAAAAGGCGUUAAACUACGUACAUUGCAGAUUAAUCAGCCUGCUCGAUAUUUUGUUUGUACAUAUUGUGGUCAUAGAUUUCGUAGUGUAAGCAUGUACUACGAUAGUAUCCAAAGUUAGCAAAAAAUGCGGUCAUAAUUCGAUGCAUGAAGCAGUAGCUAAAAAAGGGCCUCAAGCUGCUUCUAGAGAUGGAGUUUUCACCAUACAUACGAAAUCUUUCAUAAUCUCUGAUGAUCUGCAGAUACUGCCAAAUGAGACAGGAAUCUUAGGAAUCUUUAGAAUUCUUGGCAUUUCAGACAUGGAUAAGGCCGAGCCAAUCAAUGUGACUUUUGGAUUCAGUGAGGUGAUUCUUGAUUCUCUUACCAACAUUUUCCUUCAUUUUUUUUUCACUUAUUCUAACCUUUAGUGUUCUUAAUUCUUAGAUUAUGAGUUUGUUGAAGGGAUGCUUUAUCUCCCAAACUCCAUUCUCGGACCUCAUAUUGAAUAAAACAAGACAAGCGAACUCUGUAACUGUGGAACCUGAAGCCGAGACCUCAUCACUAAACCAGAUUGAGAAUGAACAUAAUCCCGACUCCAAAAAGAUGAUUUUGAAAGUGAUUAUACAAAAAUCUACGGGUAAGUUAUUGUAUGCACAAGCUAAGGAAGAUUUUGUAGAUUUUCUAUGCAGUUU